rnacentral:rRNA from 1 species
UAACGGCGAGUGAAGCGGCAACAGCUCAAAUUUGAAAUCUGGCCCCUUUGGGGUCCGAGUUGUAAUUUGCAGAGGGUGCUUUGGCGUUGGCGGCGGUCUAAGUUCCUUGGAACAGGACAUCGCAGAGGGUGAGAAUCCCGUAUGUGGUCGCAUGCCUUCGCCGUGUAAAGCCCCUUCGACGAGUCGAGUUGUUUGGGAAUGCAGCUCUAAAUGGGAGGUAAAUUUCUUCUAAAGCUAAAUACCGGCCAGAGACCGAUAGCGCACAAGUAGAGUGAUCGAAAGAUGAAAAGCACUUUGGAAAGAGAGUCAAACAGCACGUGAAAUUGUUGAAAGGGAAGCGCUUGCAGCCAGACUUGCCUGUAGUUGCUCACCCGGGCUCCUGCCCGGGGCACUCUUCUGCAGGCAGGCCAGCAUCAGUUUGGGCGGUCGGAUAAAGGGCUCUGACACGUACUUCCCCUCGGGGUUGACAUACAGGGGAGCCGCAAUGCGACCAGCCCGGACUGAGGUCCGCGCAUCUGCUAGGAUGCUGGCGUAAUGGCUGUAAGCGGCCCGUCUUGAAACACGGACCAAGGAGUCUAACAUCUAUGCGAGUGUUUGGGUGUCAAGCCCGAGCGCGUAAUGAAAGUGAACGGAGGUGGGAGCCCCUCGGGGUGCACCAUCGACCGAUCCUGAUGUCUUCGGAUGGAUUUGAGUAAGAGCAUAGCUG